AUUGAACGCUGGCGGCAGGCCUAACACAUGCAAGUCGAGCGGAUGAGAGGAGCUUGCUUCUCGAUUCAGCGGCGGACGGGUGAGUAAUGCCUAGGAAUCUGCCUGGUAGUGGGGGACAACGUUUCGAAAGGAACGCUAAUACCGCAUACGUCCUACGGGAGAAAGCAGGGGACCUUCGGGCCUUGCGCUAUCAGAUGAGCCUAGGUCGGAUUAGCUAGUUGGUGAGGUAAUGGCUCACCAAGGCGACGAUCCGUAACUGGUCUGAGAGGAUGAUCAGUCACACUGGAACGGAGACACGGUCCAGACUCCUACGGGAGGCAGCAGUGGGGAAUAUUGGACAAUGGGCGAAAGCCUGAUCCAGCCAUGCCGCGUGUGUGAAGAAGGUCUUCGGAUUGUAAAGCACUUUAAGUUGGGAGGAAGGGUUGUAGAUUAAUAACCUUCAGCAGUGACGUUACUCGCAGAAUAAGCACCGGCUAACUCUGUGCCAGCCGCCGCCGUAACAC
rnacentral:rRNA from 1 species